rnacentral:rRNA from 1 species
GAUGAACGCUGGCGGCGUGCCUAAUACAUGUAAGUCGAGCGAACAGACGAGGAGCUUGCUCCUCUGACGUUAGCGGCGGACGGGUGAGUAACACGUGGAUAACCUACCUAUAAAACUGGGAUAACUUCGGGAAACCGGAGCUAAUACCUGAUAAUAUAUUCAACCGCAUGGUUCAAUAGUGAAAGACGGUUUUGCUGUCACUUAUAGAUGGAUCCGCGCCGCAUUAGCUAGUUGGUAAGGUAACGGCUUACCAAGGCGACGAUGCGUAGCCGACCUGAGAGGGUGAUCGGCCACACGGGAACUGAGACACGGUCCAGACUCCUACGGGAGGCAGCAGUAGGGAAUCUUCCGCCAUGGGCGAAAGCCUGACGGAGCAACGCCGCGUGAGUGAGGAAGGUCUUCGGAUCGUAAAACUCUGUUAUUAGGGAAGAACAAAUGUGUAAGUAACUAUGCACGUCUUGACGGUACCUAAUCAGAAAGCCACGGCUAACUACGUG